rnacentral:rRNA from 1 species
UCAACCUACGGGGCGCAGCAGUGGGGAAUAUUGGGCAAUGGGCGCAAGCCUGACCCAGCAACGCCGCGUGAAGGAAGAAGGCUUUCGGGUUGUAAACUUCUUUUCUCAGGGACGAAGAAAGUGACGGUACCUGAGGAAUAAGCCACGGCUAACUACGUGCCAGCAGCCGCGGUAAUACGUAGGUGGCAAGCGUUAUCCGGAUUUACUGGGUGUAAAGGGCGUGUAGGCGGGGAAGCAAGUCAGAUGUGAAAACCACGGGCUCA